AUUGAACGCUGGCGGCAGGCUUAACACAUGCAAGUCGAACGGUAGCAGGAGAAAGCUUGCUUUCUUGCUGACGAGUGGCGGACGGGUGAGUAAUGCUUGGGAAUCUGGCUUAUGGAGGGGGAUAACGACGGGAAACUGUUGCUAAUACCGCGUAUUAUCGGAAGAUGAAAGUGCGGGACUGAGAGGCCGCAUGCCAUAGGAUGAGUCCAAGUGGGAUUAGGUAGUUGGUGGGGUAAAGGCCUACCAAGCCUGCGAUCUCUAGCUGGUCUGAGAGGAUGACCAGCCACACUGGAACUGAGACACGGUCCAGACUCCUACGGGAGGCAGCAGUGGGGAAUAUUGCGCAAUGGGGGGAACCCUGACGCAGCCAUGCCGCGUGAAUGAAGAAGGCCUUAGGGUUGUAAAGUUCUUUCGGUAUUGAGGAAGGUUGAUGUGUUAAUAGCACAUCAAAUUGACGUUAAAUACAGAAGAAGCACCGGCUAACUCCGUGCCAGCAGCCGCGGUAAUACGGAGGGUGCGAGCGUUAAUCGGAAUAACUGGGCGUAAAGGGCACGCAGGCGGUUAUUUAAGUGAGGUGUGGAAGCCCCGGGCUUAACCUGGGAAUUGCAUUUCAGACUGGGUAACUAGAGUACUUUAGGGAGGGGUAGAAUUCCAUGUGUAGCGGUGAAAUGCGUAGAGAUGUGGAGGAAUACCGAAGGCGAAGGCAGCCCCUUGGGAAUGUACUGACGCUCAUGUGCGAAAGCGUGGGGAGCAAACAGG
rnacentral:rRNA from 1 species